GCCACCUUCGCCAGGGUGCCCAGAGCAGCUCUAGGGCACAGCAGAUUUUAAACAGGCUAAUUACAGCCACUCGGGUCAGCUGAGAGCAGCCAUGUGCUUUGUAGGGGUUGUGUUUCUUUCCCUAGAUCCAACCAGGCUCAGCUACUCUCUCUGGAGAUCUCAUCUGCAAGAGCCAGCUGAGCCCAGUCCUGGCAGACACUGAGCACCACGGAUGACCAGCAUCUAAGCUAGAGACACAUGGGAGAAGUUGUGCAACCACAUGCAAGGCUGCAAUUUCUGAUGGUCAUGAACACAGGGAAAGAAACCCCAAGCACCCUGACAGACUAAUGACAAGCCUAAAGAAUCCAGGAAGUCAAGACUAAAACCUUUCCCAGCUUCCCCUGAAGUGCUCAAUGAAGCACCUCAAAUGUUGGAUACAAUCACGCACUUUCUUAAGCCACCUUGGAGGCAUAUUCCAAAAGCUUACCAAAGAGGAGCGAGGUGAAUUUAUGAUGAUUGUAGCCCUACUUAGAAUGUCUU